GGCCUUAAAGUUAAAAUAAUAUUAGAUUGCAAAUCUAAAGAUGGGGGAUUAAUCUUCCUAAGGCUU
rnacentral:tRNA from 1 species